UGGCGGCAUGCUUAACACAUGCAAGUCGAACGGGAAGUGGUGUUUCCAGUGGCGAACGGGUGAGUAACGCGUAAGAACCUGCCCUUGGGAGGGGAACAACAACUGGAAACGGUUGCUAAUACCCCGUAUGCUGAGGAGCAAAAGGAGAAAUCCGCCCAAGGAGGGGCUCGCGUCUGAUUAGCUAGUUGGUGAGGUAAUAGCUUACCAAGGCGAUGAUCAGUAGCUGGUCCGAGAGGAUGAUCAGCCACACUGGGACUGAGACACGGCCCAGACUCCUACGGGAGGCAGCAGUGGGGAAUUUUCCGCAAUGGGCGAAAGCCUGACGGAG
rnacentral:ncRNA from 1 species